rnacentral:rRNA from 1 species
UACGGGGGAGCAAGCGUUGUUCGGAUUACUGGGCGUAAAGGGCGCGUAGGCGGCCACCGCAAGUCGACUGUGAAAUCUCCGGGCUUAACCCGGAAAGGUCAGCCGAUACUGCGGGCUAGAGUGCAGAAGGGCAACUGGAAUUCGUCGGUGGUAGCGGUGAAAUGCGUAGAUAUCGAGAGGAACACCUGCGGCGAAGGCGGGUUGCUGGCUGACACUGACGCUGGAGGCGCGAAAGCUAGGGAGCGAACGGG